UCUCUCUGAAUCUGCGUACGGCUCCGCACACCAGUUGUAAACCAAAGCAAGCAAGCCCGGUUUCGACGCCUUUCGGGGCUAGGGACCGGGCUACAAGGAUAACCCUGGUAAUUCUGAGGCUAAUACUUGACACGAACCUGCUGACUGGGUCUCGGCUCGGGAGGCAGGGGAUGUGCGACUAUCGGGCCAACGAAACCGGAAAGAGCGCACGUUCAGACCACUUAAAAAGGCCACGGGGUCCCUCGGGAUCUCGGGGCUGUGGCUCUUGCAGCGUGCUUCUGACCUAUCAACUAGACGGCAGCCUAAGGGACAUGCUUUGGUGACAACGGGUACAGAGGAUAAGGGUUCGAUCCUGGAGAGUGGGCCUGAGAGAUU
rnacentral:rRNA from 1 species